rnacentral:rRNA from 1 species
CAAUAGCGUAUAUUUAAGUUGCUGCAGUUAAAAAGCUCGUAGUUGGAUUUCGGGUGGGAAUGGCCGGUCCGCCGUUUCGGUGUGCACUUGCUACGCCCACCUUGCUGCCGGGGACGUGCUCUUGAGUUCACGCUCGGGACACGGAGUCGGCGAGGUUACUUUGAGUAAAUUAGAGUGUUCAAAGCAGGCCUACGCUCUGAAUACAUUAGCAUGGAAUAACACGAUAGGACUCUGGCCUAUCUUGUUGGUCUGUAGGACCGGAGUAAUGAUUAAGAGGGACAGUCGGGGGCAUUCGUAUUUCAUUGUCAGAGGUGAAAUUCUCGGAUUUAUGAAAGACGAACUUCUGCGAAAGCAUUUGUCAAGGAUGUUUUCAUUAA